GAAGAGCAAAUCUCUCUGAAUCUGCGAACGGCUCCGCAAACCAGUUGUAAACCAUAGCAAGCAUGCUCCAGGAAAGCCGCAAGGCAGCCCUGGGGCUACAAGGAUAACCCCGGUAAUUCUGAGGCUAAUACAUGAACGUAACCCCUGGUCGAUGGGCAACCUGAGGCCGGGGACCGUGCGAGACCUCGCAAAAAUUUAUCGGAAAAGUCGCAUCGUAAGACCGCCAUACCAAACAGUCCUUUUCUGUCGCCCUCACGGGAGGCCGGAUCGUUCUGGGCGGCUCUUGCAAGGUGCUUCUGACCUAUCAACUAGAUGGCAGCGUAAGGGACAUGCUAUGGUGACAACGGGUACAGAGGAUAAGGGUUCGAUCCUGGAGAGUGGGCCUGAGAGAUUGCUCACACUUCUAAGGAAGGCAGCAGGCGCGCAACGUUCCCCUUGGGCAAUGCCCGAGGGCGUUAGGGGACAUAUGAAUGCCUGCCAUUUGGUGGGCAAUUCAAAUGGGUCUGUUCUAAACAGCCUC
rnacentral:rRNA from 1 species